UACGGAGGGUGCAAGCGUUAUCCGGAUUCACUGGGUUUAAAGGGUGUGUAGGCGGAUUUUUAAGUCAGUGGUGAAAUCUCCGAGCUUAACUCGGAAACUGCCAUUGAUACUAUAGAUCUUGAAUUUUCUGGAGGUAAGCGGAAUAUGUCAUGUAGCGGUGAAAUGCUUAGAUAUGACAUAGAACACCAAUUGCGAAGGCAGCUUGCUACAGGAAUAUUGACACUGAGGCACGAAAGCGUGGGGAUCAAACAGG
rnacentral:rRNA from 1 species